rnacentral:rRNA from 1 species
CCUACGGGAGGCAGCAGUGAGGAAUAUUGGUCAAUGGACGAGAGUCUGAACCAGCCAAGUCGCGUGAAGGAUGACUGCUCUAUGGGUUGUAAACUUCUUUUAUAAAGGAAUAAAACGAGGCACGCGUGCCUUUUUGCAUGUACUUUACGAAUAAGGAUCGGCUAACUCCGUGCCAGCAGCCGCGGUAAUACGGAGGAUCCGAGCGUUAUCCGGAUUUAUUGGGUUUAAAGGGAGCGUAGAUGGGUUGUUAAGUCAGUUGUGAAAGUUUGCGGCUCAACCGUGGAAUUGCAAUUGAUACUGGCCGUCUAGAGUGCAGUUGAGGUAGGCGGAAUUCGUGGUGUAGCGGUGAAAUGCUUAGAUAUCACGAAGAACCCCGAUUGCGAAGGCAGCUUACUAAGCUGUGACUGACAUUGAUGCUCGAAAGUGUGGGUAUCAAACAGGAUUAGAUACCAGAGUAGUC